rnacentral:antisense_RNA from 1 species
UGGAGAGCGCGGAGGGCCGACCUGACCCGCCGAAAGGGCCUGAGGCGAGGGGAGCCCGGGUCCCGGGGCCUUGGGGAAGGACCCGCAGCCGCACGCCGGCCCCAAGUGCAAAGCAUUGACACGACCCCGAGCGGAGAGGGGGCGCCCUCCUUCUCCCGCGCCCAGAGGCCCGGCCGCUCUGGCCCGAGCCCCAGCCUGGCCUCCGACCCAGCUCCGGGUCGUGGCGCCGCCUGGGGGUCCCUGCGCCCCGGAAAGAGACAGCAGGCACUGGAAAGCGAGGCCGGUGGGCGGGCGAGUCGGGAGGCUCGGGCGGCCGAGGUCCGGGAGCGGAUCCCAGGUGGCGGGAGCUGGUGCCCUGGCAGGAGGGACUGGCUUACGCCACCCUGUGCAGGAUCAUCUUCUCAGCUUACAGAGCCUAGUGUGAUUCAACAACCCUCCAUCUCUGCCCCCAACAUGCCCAACUGAUCUGGUGGAGGGAACUGAAGAUGAAGGCCUCUCAGGCACCAUGGAUGGGAUGGGUGUGUGUGAAGGGGGCAGGGUCCCCAGGAGCUGCCCCAGGUCUGGCUGGACAGUUGCACGGGAAGUCCUGUUUGUGAACUCAACGUUUCCAUGGCUUUUCCAUUAAACUUUACCCCAAAUC